rnacentral:rRNA from 1 species
AUACGGAGGUGGCAAGCGUUGCUCGGAAUCACUGGGCAUAAAGGGCGUCUAGGCGGAUUGGUCAGUCGGCUGUGAAAUCCCUCGGCUUAACCGAGGAACGGCAUCCGACACUGCCAGUCUUGAGGACGAGAGGGGAGAGUGGAACUCCUGGUGGAGCGGUGAAAUGCGUAGAUAUCAGGAGGAACGCCGGUGGCGAAAGCGACUCUCUGGCUCGUUCCUGACGCUGAAGCGCGAAAGCUAGGGGAGCGAACGGGAUUAGAUACCCCGGUAGUCCUAGCCGUAAACGAUGAGCACUAAGUAGUGGCGGUUUCGAUGUCGUCACUGCCGUAGCUAAUGUGUUAAGUGCUCCGCCUGGGGAGUAUGGUCGCAAGGCUGAA